GACGAAUGCUGGCUGCGUGCUUAACACAUGCAAGUCGAACCGUGAAGGGGAGCUUGCUCCCCGGAUCAGAGGCGAACGGGUGAGUAACACGUGGGCAACCUGCCCCUCACUCUGGGAUAACUCCGGGAAACCGGGGCUAAUACCGGAUACGACCGGGAGCGACAUCGCUCCUGGUGGAAAGAACUUCGGUGAGGGAUGGGCCCGCGGCCUAUCAGCUAGUUGGUGGGGUAACGGCCCACCAAGGCGACGACGGGUAGCCGGCCUGAGAGGGCGAGCGGCCACACUGGGAGGGAGACACGGCCCAGGCUCCUACGGGAGGGAGCAGUGGGGGAUAGUGCGCAAUGGGCGAAAGCCUGACGCAGCGACGCAGCGUGAGGGACGAAGGCCUUCGGGUUGUAAACCUCUUUCAGCGGGGACGAAGCGAAAGUGACGGUACCCGCAGAAGAAGCACCGGCUAACUACGUGCCAGCAGCCGCAGUAAAAC
rnacentral:rRNA from 1 species